UACGUAGGUGGCAAGCGUUGUCCGGAUUUAUUGGGCUUAAAGGGCGCGUAGGCGGCUUUGUACGUCAGUGCUGAAAUAUCCCAGCUUAACUGGGAGGGUGGCAUUGAUACUGCGGGGCUAGAGUACAGAUGAGGUAGGCGGAAUUGACGGUGUAGCGGUGAAAUGCUUAGAUAUCGUCAAGAACACCUAUAGCGAAGGCAGCUUACUAGGCUGUAACUGACGCUGAGGCACGAAAGUGUGGGGAUCAAACAGG
rnacentral:rRNA from 1 species